AUGGCCGCCGGAAACGCUCACUCACUUCCGGCGCCGCGUCGCGCGAGGCAGGCCGGGAGCGCCCGGCGGCCGGCGCGCCCGCUGGUUGUCAGGGUAACCGCGCCCGUGCCUCGGAAGAAACGCUGUCCCGGGUUUGCACCCGAUUUCCCGCGCAGUCGGCCCUGCCAUUCGACAGUGCGAGGGCCUGGAGUCGGCCCGGCCAUCGACUGGCUUUGUGGCCUCGGCCUUUGUGAGCUGCAGGUUCUCUUCUCAAGCGGGGCCCAUGGGUGGAGGAGUCUCUAUACUGAAGUCACAGAUGUCCUGGGGGAGGGUCAUCAAGGGCCUUCUCCUGGAAGAACGGACAUGGUGGCCACCAGUCUUUGGGGUGUGAAAAAGGCGCCCUGUGCAGUGGAGCUGGCAGUACUGAACUCUGGCAUUACAGGUGGAAGAAGACCCAUAUCUUUUUCUGCUAGUGCCUCAAGCAUCUUUGGAAGAGGAGGCAACAGUAAGAAGGAGAAGCUUUUUCUGCAGGAUAUAGCGGAGCUGAUCCAAGCCAGAGCCUGCCAGAGGGUGGUGGUCAUGGUGGGGGCCGGCAUCAGCACGCCCAGCGGCAUUCCGGACUUCAGGUCUCCCAGGAGUGGCCUCUACAGCAACCUGCAGCAGUACGACCUCCCCUACCCUGAGGCCAUUUUUGAGCUCACUUUCUUCUCUCACAACCCCAAGCCCUUUUUCACUUUGGCCAAGGAGCUGUACCUCAGGAGCUACAGGCCCAACGUCAUACACUACUUCCUGCGACUGCUUCACGACAAGGGGCUGCUUCUGCGGCUCUACACACAGAACAUCGAUGGGCUCGAGAGAGUAUCUGGCAUCCCUGCCUCAAAGCUGGUUGAAGCUCAUGGAUCCUUUGCCUCUGCCACGUGCACUGUCUGCCGAAGGCCCUUUCCAGGGAAGGACAUUUGGGCUGAUGUGACCGUGGACAGGAUCCCCCGCUGCCCGGUCUGCACUGGCGUUGUGAAGCCCGACAUCGUCUUCUUUGGGGAGGCACUUCCCCAGAGAUUCCUGAUGCAUGUGGUUGAUUUCCCCAUGGCAGAUCUGCUGCUCAUCCUCGGGACCUCCCUGGAGGUGCCUGGGACACACCCAUGGACACGUUCCAGAAGCUGUUCUCCAUCUGGACCUGAAGCUCAGGAACUUUGCAAAGGAUGUGACAAGAGCAACGAAUGAGCCCCUGCAAUGAGCUCUGCCUGCUUGGAUAUAGGCACCAAGGGGCAGAAGGCCAGAAAGGCCUGUGCUCAGAGCCCCUGUCAGCUACAGAGGCCGAGAGUUAAGUGUGUUUAUUCAGCAAAUGUGUCUCCUGUGUGCUGGGCCCUGUUCUAGGGCUUUGGACGGACACAGUAGGAUGUUGUAAGCAAGGGACACGGUGUUAGGUGAUGCACAAUAUGGGAGAAAGAACACGUGGGACGGGAAGGCUGGGAAGGGUUGUGAACUGGUUGUGAUCUCAGCUUGUUGGUUUGCGUGGCCUUGUCGGGAAGGUGACACGUGUCAGCUGAGGGUGUGUGGCAGAGGACACUGCACAGUGGCCUGUGGCCACAUGGAGUGAGUGAGCAGAGGGCAGCAAUGACAAGGUCUGACCUCCUGACCCCGCACGUGUUGUGGUGGGGAGAGCUGGUAGAGACCCUGCAGGUGGCAGUCCAGGUGGUGAUGGCAGGUGGCCAGGUAACACUGCAGAGGGCGUCGGAUCCCAGGUGUGUGAAGGGACGGUAGGUGGGAGAGUGUGGACUCCUGCAGGGCUCCAGGGUUGUGACCUGAGUGGCUGCAAACAUGGAGCUGGUUUCCUGAGACCGAGAAGCCUAGUGGGCACGUUGGGGGAACUUGGCCCCAGAGACACUGAUUCGAGUGCUGUUUCAGGCUGUCCAGUGGAUGCGUGGCACAGGCGGGUGGAUUCCCGCAUCUGGAGUCCAGGCAGGAGCAGAGGUGGGACCUGGGGUGCCAGAGGGAGCAGACAGAAGAGCCCAGAAUGUGGACAGACCAGUGAUGCCCACACUGGGCCUGGAAGGAAGGGUGGAUGUUGUGUGGGGGGGUGGGCAGAGGGGCCAGAGGGCCGUGGUGGUCAGCGGUGAGUGGUGUGGAGUCUGGCAGCUGCCCUGUGCCGGCCCCAGCAGUGGACACUGGGGCCACCAGGCCUCUUUAUUUCUUUAAAGUGAAAUGAAACUAGCCUUUUUCUCUGAUUAUAAAAGUACUGUAUGCUCCCACAUUAUAUAAAGAAGAGAGUGAAGUAAAGAAUCCCUGCAAGUGUUUUGCUGUGUCCUCACAGGCUGCACAGAUGUGGUGAUCUUUAACCAGAGCUGGGGAAGCACUGAGCACAGAGACCUACCUGGUUAGCGCCCACAGUCUCCCUGACAAACAUGGAUACUCGGUCCCUGCCGGGACCUCCAAAGCAGAGCGCUUGUCUAUAAGCACUGAGUAAAUCUGUGGUGUUGCUCAGACUUUACCUCAUAUGCUGUGUGGGAGAAAUAUUAAUGCACUUGGUUAUGGAUCACCCCUCCGGAUCCCACUGAGGGGUGACAUAUAUCAACCAUAGGAUGUUUUCUAAAAUCUGAAAUAUUCUGAAUUCUGGAACAUACCCAGCCCCAAGAGUUUUAGGAUGACGAUGUAUAACAAUUUAUUUAAGCAACUUUCUAUUGAUGGACAACAAAAAUAAAUAGUAUAGAGAUUUUAUAUUCAGGAUAAUGGUGUAGUGAAUAAUCAUGUGUAUACAUGUUUGCACAUUCAUGUGAGUACUUCAGUAAAUAUUGAGAAGUUACUUCCCAGAAAGAUAUACUAAUUACACUGCCACCAACCCUGUAUGAGUGGCCAUUUCCCAUAUCCUCACCAACACCAAACAUUACCUGUCUUUAAGUUUUGUUUUUUUUUUUUACCUAUCUUUAGGUUUUUAUCCAUCUGAAUGGUUAGAAAUAAAUGUGUGUGUGAGAGAGAAAGAGAAAGAGAGAAGAAGGAGAUCUAACAUUUCUGUAAUAAAGAGUGAAGUUUAUCUUUUCAUGUUUAUUAACCAUUGUGUUCUCUUUGGAUUACAUAUUAUAUCUUGCUCAUUUUUCAUUGGGUUAUUUUCUUAGUCUAUUUAUAAAUUAGCAGUAUAAAUCCAUAAAUUAUAUAAAGUGUUUAUAAAUUAGCUUAGCAAUUAGAAAUAUAAACUGUAACAUGUUGUAAAUAUGUUUGCAGUUUAUGGCAAUGAGGUUUAAAAAAUUAUUUUUCUACAGCAUAUUUUUAUAGAUAAUAAUGUGAUAGUAUUAUGUAGUCAAACCUAUCAUGACUUUCCUUUGUCUUAUCUCACUUAUCAGGCCUAAAAAGUCCUUCCUUACCUUUAUUUGUGAAACCUAAAUUUUCCUCAAGAACUGUUUUGUGUACAUUUGAAAUUUUUUCAGCGAAAGCAGGAAUUGAGUAUUUUCCUACCAGAUAAUGAGCCAGUCUCAGUACCAUUUAUUAAUCUAUUUCUUAUAUUUUACUCCUGAAUGGAAAUUUCACUUGGGAGCUGGAUGAAGAAGCCCAAAGGCACCGAGUUAGGACUCCCUGGAGGUCUGGAUGGUGGAGACUGUGGAGAGGUAGAACCUUUUGCCAGCUUGUCUGAGGCCGUGCAGAGCUCAGUGCCCCGACUGCUCAUCAACCGGGACUUGGUGGGGCCCUUUGCUUGGCGUCCUCGCAGCAGGGAUGUGGUCCAGCUGGGGGAUGUGGUUCA